rnacentral:rRNA from 1 species
CCUCGUUAGGUAGGCUAAAGCGCAGCGGCCUUGGGGGAGAUUGACAGUUUUUUUUUUUCUUUGUCUCCUCCUCGCCUCGGUACCGCCCCUAGGACCGCACCCGCCGGCUGCACCAGCCGCCGCGGCCGCUGUCGCUGCUGCUCCGGCGGCGGCUCGCGCUCGCGCGGCGCCGGUACUGGGGCCUCGUCGCCGAGGCGCGGCGGCUGGACCUGCGCGCCCGCAGCAGCGACGCCGCGCGCUAGGUCCUGGACGCGCGGGCGCACGGGGGCGGCUUGCAGCGCGUCGCCGACGGCGUGGACGUGCGAGUGAGGGAGCGGAGGAGGCGGCGGGAGCGCGAGGUCGAGUUGCGGGUGAGGAGGUGGUUCCUCGUCCGUGACGUAUCUCUCCACUUUUAAGUUCUCCUUUUAUGGCGGAUACUCUUCCGCUAUAGGCUAACGGCGGUCUUUUAAGUCCUCUUCGUCUACCUCCGACGACACGAGGUCUCAUUAAACUUCCUUUACCUUUAACGUCUCGACCUAAAUUUCCGUUUCCAACUGUUACGAUAGUACCUCGUUCUCCGACGAGUUGUAUUUCGUAGUUACCGACGAAGCCUUCGAUGACCUUUACGAGACGAUCUUCGACUUAGCAACUACUUAGAGUUCAGAUUUCUGAACCUUCUCUUCUUCCCCCUCAACUUUAAUAACCUUCUGUUCUAUGUUUCUAACCUCUUUCAUACCAGGAGCCAACUUCUUCUUAGAAACUUUUUAGGUUCAGGACGGGUCUCCCUCUUCCAUGACCUCUUUGUUAAUGUAUCGGAGUAACUUGUCAACUGUCGAUUUGUUCGAGUUCGACUUUCCGAGUAGUGACUAUAUGUACGGUUUCUUUUCCUAGACCUUUCCAACUUGUCAUAUGUCUCUUUAGAAGUGUCGUCGAGGUCGCUUCGUCCACGUCGUGCCUUGGCCAAGCCGCCUCCCGAAGACUCGCCCCUACUUCUAAGACCGAGGUUUCGACGGGCCUCUGGGCCGGUUAGGCCACCAAAAUCUUGUCUUCCGGUCUUUUCCGAGUACUAAGAAUCCAGGCGAAAACAAGAGAUAUAGAACCAUGACGUGCAACAGCAGAAGUAUUUCUAUAGUCAAAGCUUGAUCCGUCACAUGUUUUGUGUUCAUGAUAUGGGAACACAUUUAUCGUGUACAUUUUAACUACCACCAACAUAAAAAACCUCGAAUUGAACGUCGGGGACUCAAACCCGGAACAAAAUUUGAUCUCGUUCACUACUCGCGUAGCUACACUAGGGACAACGACUUAAAAAGACUCCUAUUCUAAAGUACAAAUGAACGGGUAGUCUUCCACGUUUAAA